UACGGAGGGUGCGAGCGUUAUCCGGAAUUAUUGGGCGUAAAGGAUGCGUAGAUGGUGUAGUAAGUUAUCGGUGGCAAAUCGAGGCUCAACCUCGUGGAAGUCGGUAAUACUGCUAUGCUAGAGGAUAGGAGAGGUUAACGGAACUCCCUGUGGAGCGGUGAAAUGCGUAGAUAUAGGGAAGAACACCAAUCAGGCGAAGGCAGUUAACUAUUCUAUUCCUGACAUUGAGGCAUGAAAGCGUGGGGAGCAAAACGG
rnacentral:rRNA from 1 species